UUUUUGUCUUUUGCUGUUGUUGUUGUUGUUGCUAUUUCCUGGGCUGCUCCCGUGGCACAUGGAGGUUCCCAGGCUAGGGGUCCAAUCGGAGCUCCACCGGCCUAUGCCAGAGCCACAGCAACGCGGGAUCCGAGCCGCGUCUGCAACCUACACCACAGCUCACGGCAACGCCGGAUCGUUAACCCACUGAGCAAGGGCAGGGACAGAACCCGCAACCUCAUGGUUCCUAGUCGGAUUCGUUAACCACUGCGCCACAACAGGAACUCCUCACUACUAUUUAAAAUGUCCUCAAAAGUAACACUGUGAUUCAGUAUUGAGAUGAAAAGUUAUUGUGUACACAAAAAGACAUAUAAACAGAGCUGCAGCAGGUAAAUUUUAUAUUGCUGAGGCAAAUAUUCAUCAUAGGAGGGAUAAUCAUGAGCCUAUAUUUUGUUCCAAAACAAAAAAUUCUGUAAAUGUGUUUUAUGGAACCUAUAGGAAAUAGACGUAACGGUGCUACAUUUUGCUUUUCUGAACAAUAUGCAAAAGAAGCAUCUCCUACAUGCUAAGUAAUGUACCUCAAGACAAGAGAGUUGCCAAAUGCUUAGAAUAGAUGAAAGAAAUGUCAAAGCAUCAAAAGGCUGGUGUAAGCAACAAAUGUGUUUCAGGGGAUCGUUAACACUUUUGUGUCAUCAUUUAAUUGGAAACAUUUUUUUCCUUUCAUAGUUGUAUGUAAAAUAAUGUGUCCUUCAAUCAACGGCAUCUUAAAAUCACAUUUAAACAAAGAGUUUCGGGAGUGCCCAUCAUGGUGCAGUGGUUAACGAAUCCGACUAGGAACCAUGAGGUUGCAGGUUCGAUCCCUGGCCUCGCUCAGUGGGUUAGGGAUCUAGCGUUGCCGUGAGCUGUGGUGUAGAUCGCAGACACAGCUCGGAUCCUGCAUUGCUGGCUCUGGUGUAAGCCAGCGGCUACAGCUCCAGUUAGACCCCUAGGCUGGGAACUUCUGUAUGCCACAAGUGCGGCCCUAGAAAAGACAAAAAUAAAAUAAAAUAAAAUAGUUUCUGGAGACAUAGAGAAAACUUUGGGCUUAAAUAGAGAUAUAAAAGAAUACAAAAUUGCAAACUCACAACUAUGUAAGAUAAUUUUAAAAUAGUGUGGGAAAAGUGAAAGCAAAUACAUCAAAAUGUUAAGUCUGCAGAAUGAGAUUAUGAUUAAUCUUUAUCUUCUUCCUUUUUAUGUUUCCCAAAUUGUUACCAAAAGAAUGUGUUUUUAAAUUAGUUUAAGAUAAUAUUUAGAAUAUUAAAAACAAAGAUGGAAACUCACCCUCCAGGUACUCAUCAACUCCUUUAUAACACAUUGUUAUAAUUUAUCUAAGCUUCUGUGAAUCUGUUUAUAUUAUAUCCUUCCUAUUCUGUAAGGCUAAUUCUAUAUACUUGGUGAGAAACAUUCUAUAGAUUCACAAGCUUCAAGUUCGACCUCCUGCCUGGUGUUGCUAGGCUGGGCUCAUGCAUGUCAAUCCAAUCUCUAUUCUUCACACUUUCACAAUGCUCAGUCAAACCUUCCUGGCUUUUGCUAUUCUAACCACAAAUGCUAAUUUAUUAAGUUUUUCUAAAUACUGAAGUUCUUUCAGAAAAAUUAAAGACCUUUCCAACUCAUCUUUCUUAGUCCUUAUAAUUAUUCUGAGCUCACCACGCUAGACUAUUCUGAUAUCAGGUCUAUAGCCUAGCAAGUGCAUUUCCAAGUUAUUUAUCCAGUUUGGCAUAUUUUGGUCUCUUUCCUAUAUGACAGAAACUAAGAUGAACAAAAGAGGAAACACCUCUUUUCUUGGAUAUAUUAGCAAUCAAAGGGGCUUCUGGCUGGCAUAGUUUGCAGCCAUGGACUUUUGGAUAGGAAUUUAAUAUCAUACACUAGAAUUUCUGAGUUCACUAAGAAGAUGAAUGAGGAGUUCCCAUCGUGGCUCAGGGGUUAAAAAAUCUGACUAGGAACCAUGAGGUUGCAGGUUCUAUCCCUGGCCUUGCUCAGUGGGUUAAGGAUCCGGCAUUGCCGUGAGCUGUGAUGUAGGUCACAGACUCAGCUCGAACCCUGUGUUGCUAUGGCUCUGGCAUAGGCCGGCAGCUACAGCUCCAAUUAGACCCCUAGUCUGGGAACCUCCAUAUGCCGUGGGUACGGCCUAGAAAAGGCAAAAAGACAAAAAAAAAAAAAAAAAGAAGAUGAAUGAUGAGAACGUAAGGUGAAGAUGGAACAGAAAUAAGGAGACACGGAGCUUAAAUUAAAUCUCAGAACCAGGGGACCCUAAAUAAGCUGGAUUCAUCCUGGGCAUUGUCCCCAAAGCCCAUCUUUUUCUCUGCCCUGGGUCUUUUUAAAUUUUACUGCAUUUACAAAAUCCAUCUGUUACUUCUCUGGUCUCUCUCCUUCUCCUACAGAUCAAACACAUUUUGCCCAACUGCCACAGGCAGCCCUGGAUUGCAAAUAAGAAGCAGGCUAAACCCCAGUUUCUUGUUUGGGCUCUUCAUCAGUCAACGCUGCCAAAAGACUUCCACCAAAGCAGCAUUUCCAUUUGUCUUUGCAGUUCACAAGGUCACAGCCUUCAUGCCUCAUGCCCACACAAGCUUCUGUCACUCAUGGACUCUGUGAGUGGCCGUCCUGAAGAUGUGAUGAGGCUAUGAGAGCAAUCAAUCCCACAAGAGAGGGUCAAUGUGCCCCAAACUAAGCUCUUCCCUGGCACCAUCAGUCAGACACGUCCUGAAUAGAAGCUUUGUUUUCACUUCAGUCCCCCCACAAGUAAAUUUAUAUGCUGGUAUAAUUAUAAAAUCAUUUAAGCAUUUAACCUGCAGCUCAUAAGCAUGUUCAACACCCUAUUGGUGCCCCAUCCUACGCCUAACUAGUUGAAAUAAUAAAUAAAUAAAAUCUGGCUUGAUGUUACUAGCUAACAACUAAUAACAAAUAUCUGACUUAGUCUGAGAUUGAAGUUCAAGACUUACUUUGCUGGAGCUAGUCUUUUCCCAGACUUAGGCACAGAGGUAUGAUGGGGAAAGAUGGGAGGCAGAAAUGCCGUGGCAAUACAGCGCUUACUUCAAAUCAGAGAUACAACACAUCAACUCAGCGCAAACUUGAGGAACACCCAGAGCACAAAUUUGAGGGAGGUGGGGGAAGGGUCUGCUAGAAAUGUCUUGUCACUGUCACGUUAAGACUUACCAGACUUUGUAAAGUCAGAAUCUGCCCAAAAUAGUAAAAAUAAGGAUACAUCUCAUUGCUCUGUCAUGUGUGAGAUGUUCAUUAGCAUUUCAUGCAUGCAGGCAGAAAAUUGCUGGAGAAGGGAAGAAAUCACAUUCUGAGCUUAUCCCCCACCAAGAGCUGCAAAUUUGGCAUUUCUGCACAGGAGGAAACCAUACCCUGCUGGCAACAGACUCAUCAUCAACCCGACGCGCAAUGAAAACACAAAACAAGCAAAAUACCCUGCAUCUGUAUUGCUCUCAGUACCUUGUGAGUAUGUAUCAGUCUUAGGAACAUAUCUUGGAAUCAUUACACAAACUCUUUCCACCACAAAUACUGUGCUCCCUAUCUGAAUUCUGCUCAAUUCAUUAGGACAGAGGUACAAUUAGCUUCCUAAUGAUCAGCAUACUAGGGAUUUGAGGAAACAGGGAUUCUAAUGGAAGAGUAAUGAGCAGUGACAGGGUCUAAAAGCCGAGUGUCCUAAGGGGGAAAAAGUGAGCUGGAUAAUAGGUGCUUGAAUUCUGAAGAGUCAGUUUUGUGUGUAGGCACUUCCAAGAUGAGGGUUUUAUCUCAUGGUGGCCUAGAGUGACAAGUGUAUGGCCUAAAUGGUGCUUUACAUUAAAGAUGCAUGCUGAUGGGAAGGACAAAAUAAGAACUAUUACAUUACAUUGUCUUCAGUGUGUCUUUGAACUGACUUUCUGUCACCUGCCUCUAAACACCCUCAUGUUGCAGCUUGCAAAGGACUGACAGCUUUCAACUGCCGCUGUCACCCUUCCCUCCAUGCUGACACCUCAGAUCCUAGCCCCAAAUCUUAGCAUCCCUUUCUUUUAAUUCUCUACUAGGAUUUAUUCCAAUCAUUCUAAAUCACUUAAAAUAAAAAUCAAAAAGAAAGACCUGAGAAUAUUAGCCAUUUACAAACCAUAUUUUUGCAGAACAUUCAAUGCCAUGAGAAAGUGCUCAUCAUAUAAUAUUAAAUGAAAAACCUGGAUACAAAAUUGCAUAGGCACUAUGAUCUGAUCUGACUAUUUAUAGGUCUGUAUGUGUGAUUCCAAGAUAUUAUUCUUGUUCAUUUCUUGAAAAGGUGGUUAAGAGUCAUUUUGAUUUUCUUGUUUAUGCUUUCAAGAAUUUACAAAAUUGAGCAUGUAUUAUUUUUAUAAGCAGAAAAAAAUAAUCAUUUUAAACUGCUACACAGAAGUAAGAUAGUCCUCAGUUUAAACCUGCAUGUUAUUAUUUAUUUACACCACGUUCUACUCCACGAAUUUCAUGUCCUAUCAUCUGGAUGCUGCCUAUCUCACAUGGUUCAUCUUUGUUUCUGGCUUUCAGGAUGCAAACAAAGCAAGCAGGCUGAUUUCUGGGUGCCUCCUCAGCACGUCAAGUGUCAGGAAGCAAAAGGAGCCAGAAGGACUGGCUCCUGGUCCCCAUCCUUCCCCUAAGAGUAAUCAGAGACCUUGGAAAUCCCCAAGCAUCCUGGGCCAAACUCUCCCCAUAUAUGAACUGCAAGGUUGGGCUGGAUAAUCCUAAAGGCUCAUCUCACUCAAAACUUCUCCUUUUCAUGAGCUGCUAGAUCCAACUGCAGCAAGAAGUUGUCAUCACCACAAAUGUGAGGUUACUGCACAGUUCCAUUCACAAAACAAAGGAUUCUCAACUGGAAGUGGUAAAAGCCAAGCGUCCUAGAUAUGCCAGAGAUCCAACUUGCUGUUCUAUCUCAGAGCAGAUCUCUCGGGCAAAAUCUUCAUUGUCAAUGUAAAUUUGACCCAAAUAUCAACAGUACUGGGUGGAAGAGGGCUCAGAAAAGAGAAGGGCAAGAAGGCCUUUGAAAAACAUUAAAUUAUAUGCGGUCCCAGACAUAAAUAAGGAGUUAUCUCUUUAAUCGACAGUUAAGUUUCAUAGUCUGAAUUCACCUGGAUCUUCGGGUGACUCAAGUAUAAACACCUGGGAUGAUUACAAUACUCUGAUCUCAACAAUUAGCUGUAGAAGAUACAACCCUUAAGGAUAGAAUUAUUGACAUUCUAAAGUUAAAUUCUUAAAAUUAUACAAACGAAACAUAAAUUCACUAUCAAAUAAAAUUCGAACCAUACAGAUGUACAUACAGUAAAAACAGGAGAUUCUCCUUCAAGUUUCACCUUCUGCCCACCCACCCCACUACCAACAGGCACCUGUUUUAGACCCUUUUUGUUUUAAAUGUAUGCAUCUUCACCUGGUUCCUAUCCAUUCCUCCCAAAGCACUACAAGAAUAUCUAUAAAUAUCACAAGUCUUUGUUCUGUCAAAUUUAAUCAUAAACUUGACAAAUUUCUUCUAAACUGGAAUAGUUGCUUUUGAAGAAAAAGUCCAUUAUGUAUAGCUUCCAGAAUUGAUGCUGACCAUUAUUCUCUAUCCCUGCUAAUCUUGUUAUCUUUAAAAUAAUAAGCAUGUGAACAUGAAUAGUAAAGGAAGAAAUGUUACUAGGACAGCAAGAAUAGCACAGAAGCCUCUGUGUGCAGCUUUCGGCCCCUCAAACACAGGCAUAUGCCAAUCUUCAUUAGCUCAGGCUCUUAACUGAGCUCAGCAGAUGCCCCAGUUUAGUGCCCAUUUGGAAACCCAUCCCACCUGUGGGUGCUGCUAGGAAACAGCAUCACAAUCCUUCCUUCUGUAUUCCCGGGCAGAGCUGUGGGUUCAAGAGGAAGGACCAAGUACUUUGCUGAUACCUGAUCCAGAGAUGGUGCUUAGACAACAGUCCCUNGAUUACCAGGCUAGGGGUCUCAUCGGAGCUGUAGCCACCAGCCUACACCAGAGCCACAGCAGCGCAGGAUCCGAGCCACGUCUGCAAUCUACACCACAGCUCACUGAGCAAGGCCAGGGAUCAAACCCGCAACCCCAUGGUUCCUAGUUGGAUUCCUUAACCACUGAGCCAC
rnacentral:lncRNA from 1 species